GACGUAGGGCGCGAGCGUUGUCCGGAUUUAUUGGGCGUAAAGAGCUCGUAGGCGGCUUGUUGCGUCGUCCGUGAAAACCCACGGCUUAACUGUGGGCUUGCGGUCGAUACGGGCGGGCUGGAGUUCGGUAGGGGAGACUGGAAUUCCUGGUGUAGCGGUGAAAUGCGCAGAUAUCAGGAGGAACACCGGUGGCGAAGGCGGGUCUCUGGGCAGUAACUGACGCUGAGGAGCGAAAGCGUGGGGAGCGAACAGG
rnacentral:rRNA from 1 species